UGUGUGUGUGUGUGUGUGUUUACGCGCGUUCAGUUUUGCCCAUCCUUCGUGAAUCGCGCAGUGUGUGCGUGUGUGUGUAUGUGUGUGUGUGUGUUGAGCGCGCGCGCUUGUGUGUGUGUGUGUUCUGCGCUUCACUCGGAUGGAGAAGAAGUGUGUGAACGCGCGUUUUCUCUCCGUCGAUGGGGAUCUGGGUUCUUAUGAUUCUCGCUGCGCGCGCAGGACCGAACAGGAUUAUUAUAUUUAUUAAUAAUAUUAUUAAUUAUAAUUAUAAUAAUAACAGUCGAUUAGAUUGUUUGUCCGCGCUGCCGCAAAACAACUUUUGUUCUCGUUCCGCUGUUUGUCGUUUCGUAGCGCGUUUACAUCCGCCGUGUUACUUUGGCGCGCGCACUAUGCUGCUCGGCGCUCCGGCGCUCACGUGGCUUCUUUCCGGUGCAUUCGGACCCAACCGGGGGAGGCGCGCGGCCGCUCGGUCAGUCCGUGUGCGCGCUUUUUGGGCACCUUAGGACAGAGAUGUGCUUUUUAUAUUUAUUUAUUUCUUCCUGCAAGCAUCUUCUUGUCGAUGAAGGACCGACUCGAGCCUUGAGACUUACGACUUAAGACUUGAGACACACACGCGCGCGCGUGCCGCCGUCUUCAUCAGGUCUGCACCCGAGUAAAAAAAAGGGGGGACCUUCUGGAUCAACCGAGGAAGGAACCGGAGAGACACAAAGUGCACGAGACACUGGAGGCGAGACGCAGCAGAAGAUGGGUCUGUCGAAUUGUGCCAAGAGAUUAGCAUGCCUCCUCUCACUCCUUGCCUCCUUUCUCCUUCUUCUCUGCUCCGGGGAGAAAACAUGCCCCUACAGCUGCCGGUGUGAGGGUAAAAUUGUCCAUUGUGACUCAGCAUCUUUCAUCGAUGUCCCAGAGAACAUUUCAGUAACUUGCCAGGGUUUGUCUCUGCGAAACAAUGACUUGCACACAAUGCUCCCUUACCAGUUUGCCCACUUGAACCAGCUCCUCUGGCUCUACCUGGACCACAAUCAGAUCUCAUUUGUAGACAGCCGUGCUUUCCAGGGCAUACGACGGCUAAAGGAGUUGGUCUUGAGCACCAACAAGAUCUCACAGCUACACAAUGCUACCUUCCACGGCGUGCCAAAUCUCCGCAGCCUGGACUUGUCCUAUAACAAGCUCCAGGAAUUGCAGCCAGGUCAGUUCCAUGGUCUUCGGAAGCUACAAAAUCUGCAUCUACGCUCCAAUGGGCUCACAACAAUUCCUGUUCGGGCUUUUAUAGAGUGUAGAAGCUUGGAGUUUCUUGAUCUGGGUUACAACCGACUACGUGUCCUCACACGUACCACGUUCUUGGGUUUGUCUCGGCUGAUGGAACUGCACCUGGAGCACAACCAGUUCUCUCGGAUCAACUUCUUUCUUUUUCCACGCCUCGCAAACCUCCGUGGGCUGUAUCUCCAGUGGAAUCGUAUCCGAGCAGUGAAUCAAGGCCUGCCCUGGAUGUGGUAUACCCUACAGAAGCUGGACUUGUCUGGCAAUGAGAUCCAGAGUCUGGACCCUGUGGUUUUCCAAUGCUUGCCAAAUCUUCAGGUUCUAAACUUGGAGUCUAACAAGCUUGCUAAUGUGUCCCAUGAAACGGUGGCAGCCUGGAUUUCCCUCUCAACAAUCAGCCUCGCUGGAAACGUCUGGGAUUGUGGGCCAGGCAUUUGUCCUCUCGUCGCUUGGUUAAAGAAUUUCCGUGGAACUAAAGACACAAGUAUCAUUUGCAGCAGCCCUAAACAUCUUCAAGGGGAAAAGGUUAUGGAGGCAACAAAAAAUUAUAUAGAUUGUGAAGAUUUUGAACUCAUCCCCCAAACGCCGUUUCCUCCCCACACUUGGGAGUCAAGUAUGGAAACUACCGCUGAGCCAGUGUUGGCUUUGACAACUCCUGAACUACCCCUGCUCCCCGCCACCUCUGAGGCACCCAUCCCACCGUUGUUGGCUCAACCUCUUCCUUAUCCUACUAUCCCUGAAACUAACCACAGAGACACCCCUCCAGAUACACCACCACCCUCCAACAGCCUGCUCGUGACGCCAUCUCCAGAACAAGAGGACUUAUCCUUCCAUAAGAUUGUGGUCGGUGGUGUGGCACUUUUCUUUACAACAUCCCUCAUCUUGAUGGUGAUAUACGUCUCCUGUAGACGGUAUCCUGGAGCCACAAGGCUGUUGCAGCAGCGCUCUGUGGUCGGACGGAAGCGGCGGAAAAAGAGUCCUGAGCCAGAACAGAACCUGAGCUCCCAACUACAGGAAUAUUACAUGAGCUACAACCCUGCUGCUACGCCGGAAGCCAUGGAUGUACUGGCCAAUGGGACUGGUACUUGCACAUGUACCAUAUCCGGCUCCAGGGAAUGUGAGGUAUGACAAUGUCAAGGGCAGCCUAAAAUCAAAACAAAUCAAAGCAAAUGAAACGACUCUGGAUGACAGAGAACGAAUACGUGUGUCCCAGACCGCUGCCUCGAGCCUGGAUCGGAGACGUUCCCACAAUUCACUAGCCGGACUUCUUCUGUUUCCACUUUAUCGACUGCAACAGGGUUCCUGUAAAGAAUUUCCAUGGCAUCUCACACACACACACACACACAUAUACACACACUUUGCCCAUUUCCUUUCGUUCGGAUAUCGUAGGAGCGUACAGGAGGAGCGAGCCGGUCGUCGUUUCCCAGAAUCCUUUUGCUGUGAAAGCAUUUUGUAUUAUAAUGCUCCAGACUGAUUUUUGCAACAACAAAAUCUUUUAAUCACCUGCCAUUUUUUAGGAGCUUCUCCACUAGAGCUUUGGGAAAAGGGACAGUGUGGACAUGGGCGUGGACAGCUUCAGUGGUGCCUUUCGCGCAUUUUGUUCUCGUCCAUUUUUAUCCAGCAGGAACAAACGAUCCGUAAACUGACGAGCGGGACGGAGGAGAAAAUCAUCUCCUGGAUUUCCAUUCCUAUUCGGAUUCAUCUCCAUUGCCAUCAGAAUUGAAAAAAAUAAAAUAAAAUAAAAACAAUAAUAGAAGGGAUUUUACUGACAUUUUUUUUUCCCAGUCGGAAUUUUUUUUCCCGUGCUAUUUAACAAUCUCGUGAGGACUUUGUGGUGACCCUCCUAUGAGAUUUCUCCUCGGUUGAACACACAGAAGUCUUGUUUACAACCUCAGCAUGAAGCCGGAGGGUCACCGACAUGUUCACACUGACUGCAAGCCAACAUGUGUGUGUGUGUGUGUGUGUGUGUGUGUGUGUACAUACUUACUUAAGGGACAAAGACGUGUGCAUGACACUGGGAUGUCAACAUCAUUGUAGGAACUUUACUGUUGGUUUCUUGACUACUUUACUCUGUAUAAUGUUACACUCUGUGUUCACAUCAGCAAGCGACAAAGUGACAUCAUUUCCUGUAAGUUUAUUCUAUAAUUUGUUUAUUCAUCUGAGUGUUCUAAGGCAAAUUCAAUUAUAAACACAAAUGGCUGUGUUUUUAGUUUGAGUUUAAGUUAACAGCGAGUAACAAUGAAAGACAAAAUUAAAUAUUAAUUAAUUAAUUAAUUAAUUAAUUAAUUAAUUAAAUUGCAAAAUAUAUUUU